UACAGAGGGUGCAAGCGUUGCUCGGAAUUAUUGGGCGUAAAGGGUAGGUAGGUGGUCUCAUUUGUCAGGGGUGAAAGCCUUGGGCUUAACCCAAGAAGUGCCCCUGAAACGGUGAGACUCGAGUACUGGAGAGGGUCGUGGAAUUCCCGGUGUAGCGGUGAAAUGCGUAGAGAUCGGGAGGAACACCAGAGGCGAAGGCGGCGACCUGGACAGUUACUGACACUCAACUACGAAAGCGUGGGGAGCAAACAGG
rnacentral:rRNA from 1 species